GCUGGCGGUAGGCCUAACACAUGCAAGUCGAACGGCAGCACAGAGGAGCUUGCUCCUUGGGUGGCGAGUGGCGGACGGGUGAGGAAUACAUCGGAAUCUACUUUUUCGUGGGGGAUAACGUAGGGAAACUUACGCUAAUACCGCAUACGACCUACGGGUGAAAGCAGGGGAUCUUCGGACCUUGCGCGAUUGAAUGAGCCGAUGUCGGAUUAGCUAGUUGGCGGGGUAAAGGCCCACCAAGGCGACGAUCCGUAGCUGGUCUGAGAGGAUGAUCAGCCACACUGGAACUGAGACACGGUCCAGACUCCUACGGGAGGCAGCAGUGGGGAAUAUUGGACAAUGGGCGCAAGCCUGAUCCAGCCAUACCGCGUGGGUGAAGAAGGCCUUCGGGUUGUAAAGCCCUUUUGUUGGGAAAGAAAUCCAGCCGGCUAAUACCUGGUUGGGAUGACGGUACCCAAAGAAUAAGCACCGGCUAACUUCGUGCCAGCAGCCGCGGUAAUACGAAGGGUGCAAGCGUUACUCGGAAUUACUGGGCGUAAAGCGUGCGUAGGUGGUUGUUUAAGUCUGUUGUGAAAGCCCUGGGCUCAACCUGGGAACUGCAGUGGAAACUGGACAACUAGAGUGUGGUAGAGGGUAGCGGAAUUCCCGGUGUAGCAGUGAAAUGCGUAGAGAUCGGGAGGAACAUCCAUGGCAAAGGCA
rnacentral:rRNA from 2 species